CUUGGUCCUUUCCUGCAGCCUUCCUGCCAGAGCACAUCCAUCAUCCGCAAACAUCUCAUCGCUCUCCCGCCACAGGAAGCGACCUGUGUCCUGUUGCCCCUCAGCCAAAGCACCUGCCAGGCUGCAUUAGGAGAGAGGUGUCUGGAAGCCACAGUCUUCAGGGUAAACGAAGCACAUUAUUCUACGUUUUCCUGUAACUGAACUCACCCACUAUCCGAAGGAGGCUCUGUGCCAAAAUAUCAACCAUCUCUCCCACUUCAG
rnacentral:lncRNA from 1 species